GUAAAAUUAAUGAAGAGGCAAUGAAAGGCUAAUGAUGAGUGUACAGUGGGGGACGUGAAUUUCAAGGUGGGUUCUUCUUUUGUUUUUCUUCUUCGGAUUUUUCUUCUUCUUUUUUUUUUUUCGAUACUUUUUAAGGAAAAUUAUUUUGUGGGUAAUUCUAAAAUAUUCUUAUUUUUAUUUGGGCCGUUUUACUUUUUUUUAAUUUACUCACUUCAAUUAAGAUAAUUAUUUGAAUUAAUCAUUAUUAUAAAAAUUUCAUUAAUUUAUUUAAUGAAUUACUGAUGUAGCUUUUUUUUUUAAAUUUUGAUUAAAGCUAGGGACUUAUCUAUAAGUAGUUCAAAAUACUUUUUUUUGUUUUUAUUUGC
rnacentral:lncRNA from 1 species